CCUACGGGAGGCAGCAGUGAGGAAUAUUGGUCAAUGGCCGCAAGGCUGAACCAGCCAAGCCGCGUGAAGGAAGAAGGAUCUAUGGUUUGUAAACUUCUUUUAUAGGGGAAUAAAGGUAUCCACGUGUGGAUAUUUGCAUGUACCCUAUGAAUAAGCAUCGGCUAACUCCGUGCCAGCAGCCGCGGUAAUACGGAGGAUGCGAGCGUUAUCCGGAUUUAUUGGGUUUAAAGGGUGCGUAGGUUGUUUUUUAAGUCAGGGGUGAAAGGUUGUGGCUCAACCAUGAAAUUGCCUUUGAUACUGGAAGACUUGAGUGUAGUUGAGGUAGGCGGAAUGCGUGGUGUAGCGGUGAAAUGCAUAGAUAUCACGCAGAACACCGAUUGCGAAGGCAGCUUACCAAACCAUAACUGACGCUGAGGCACGAAAGCGUGGGGAUCAAACAGGAUUAGAUACCCUUGUAGUC
rnacentral:rRNA from 1 species